rnacentral:rRNA from 1 species
UGGAGAUUCGUCAAAGUUGACUUGACUUAGUGGCGGACGGGUGAGUAAUGCGUGAGCAACCUGCCUUUCAGAGGGGGACAACAAUUGGAAACGACUGCUAAUACCGCAUAAUGUAUUUAGGAGGCAUCUCCCGGAUACCGAAAGGAGCAAUCCGCUGAAAGAUGGGCUCACGUCUGAUUAGCUAGUUGGUGAGGUAACGGCUCACCCAAGGCUGCGAUCAGUAGCCGGACUGAGAGGUUGAACGGCCACAUUGGGACUGAGAUACGGCCCAGACUCCUACGGGAGGCAGCAGUGGGGAAUAUUGGGCAAUGGGCGAAAGCCCUGACCCAGCAACGCCGCGUGAAGGAAGAAGGUCUUCGGAUUGUAAACUUCUUUUAUGAGGGACGAAGGACGUGACGGUACCUCAUGAAUAAGCCACGGCUAACUACGUGCCAGCAGCCGC